AGGAUGAACGCUGGCGGCGUGCUUAACACAUGCAAGUCGAACGGUGAAAGAGGAGCUUGCUCCUCUGGAUCAGUGGCGAACGGGUGAGUAACACGUGAGUAACCUGCCCUUGACUCUGGGAUAAGCGUUGGAAACGACGUCUAAUACCGGAUACGAGCUUCAGCCGCAUGGCUAGGAGCUGGAAAGAAUUUCGGUCAAGGAUGGACUCGCGGCCUAUCAGGUAAUUGGUGAGGUAACGGCCCACCAAGCCUACGACGGGUAGCCGGCCUGAGAGGGUGACCGGCCACACUGGGACUGAGACACGGCCCAGACUCCUACGGGAGGCAGCAGUGGGGAAUAUUGCACAAUGGGCGCAAGCCUGAUGCAGCAACGCCGCGUGAGGGACGACGGCCUUCGGGUUGUAACCUCUUUAGUAGGAAGAAGCGAAAGUGACGGUACCUGCAGAAAAGCACCGGCUAACUACGCGCCAGCAGCCGCGGU
rnacentral:rRNA from 1 species